rnacentral:rRNA from 1 species
UACGUAGGGGGCAAGCGUUGUCCGGAAUCAUUGGGCGUAAAGCGCGCGUAGGCGGCCCGGUAAGUCCGCUCUGAAAGUCCAGGGCUCAACCCUGGAAAGCGGGUGGAUACUGCCGGGCUCGAAUCCGGAAGAGGCGAGUGGAAUUCCUGGUGUAGCGGUGGAAUGCGCAGAUAUCAGGAGGAACACCAAUAGCGAAGGCAGCUCGCUGGGACGGUAUUGACGCUAAGGCGCGAAAGCGUGGGGAGCGAACAGG